ACGAACGCUGGCGGCGUGCUUAACCCAUGCAAGUCGAACGGAAAGGCCCUGCUUUUGUGGGGUGCUCGAGUGGCGAACGGGUGAGUAACACGUGAGUAACCUGCCCUUGACUUUGGGAUAACUUCAGGAAACUGGGGCUAAUACCGGAUAGGAGCUCCUGCUGCAUGGUGGGGGUUGGAAAGUUUCGGCGGUUGGGGAUGGACUCGCGGCUUAUCAGCUUGUUGGUGGGGUAGUGGCUUACCAAGGCUUUGACGGGUAGCCGGCCUGAGAGGGUGACCGGCCACAUUGGGACUGAGAUACGGCCCAGACUCCUACGGGAGGCAGCAGUGGGGAAUAUUGCACAAUGGGCGGAAGCCUGAUGCAGCAACGCCGCGUGCGGGGUGACGGCCUUCGGGUUGUAAACCGCUUUCGCCUGUGACGAAGCGUGAGUGACGGUAAUGGGUAAAGAAGCACCGGCUAACUACGUG
rnacentral:rRNA from 1 species